CGAUCUCACACUUUGGUCCAUGAAAAGCUCAUGAAGGUCAUGCACAAGCAUGGUAGAAAAGUUUAUGCAUGGACUGUUGACGAUGGUGACUCCAUGAAGAGGAUGAUGCAUGAGCAGGUUGAUGCAAUUGUGACUGGAAAUCCUUCCCUCCUGCAGCAGCUGAUGCAGGAGACUAGAACAGAGUGCACGGAAGAUGGUUUUGCCUUGCCGUAAGGAUGAGUACCAACCCCGUUGCAUUCCACGGUGAUUCUUGAUGACUGCAUGACGUGGGAGAAGAAAGAUAUAAAACGGUUCCCUGUCUCGCAUGGAGAUGAACUGUGAUUUUUAGCACGUUUUUAGGAUUCAAAUGAUAUAGUUCUUUCUCUGGUGACACAAUUGGAUCAGAGGGUUGAAAAGACAGAUCAUUUUUUUCCUCUUUUCUUGAAGACAAGUCUGAGUUUGUGAAAAUGUUCCUAUUCACGUGGA